rnacentral:rRNA from 1 species
UCGAAGGGGGCUAGCGUUGCUCGGAAUCACUGGGCGUAAGCGCACGUAGGCGGAUCUUUAAGUCAGGGGUGAAAUCCUGGAGCUCAACUCCAGAACUGCCUUUGAUACUGGGGAUCUCGAGUCCGGGAGAGGUGAGUGGAACUCCGAGUGUAGAGGUGAAAUUCGUAGAUAUCGGAAGAACACCAGUGGCGAAGGCGGCUCACUGGCCCGGUACUGACGCUGAGGUGCGAAAGCGUGGGGAGCAAACAGG